GGAUGAACUCCUCGGGUGUGGUGGACUUGUCCGGGGCGUCCUUGGAAUGGAACACCUGACAAGAUGGAGACCAACAGACGCAGUGACCGCAGCUGCACCAAGGUUGGAUACAAAGGGUCUGAUCUCCGGUUUUUGUUCUUCAGCACUUGGCAGGUGUGACAGCAGUCACAACGAUCAAGAGUAAAAACUCUCCCCUCUAGUGUCUGUAUGAUGCAGAUUCUCGUAGCUCUCAGCGGCGCCUGGAAGCUGCUCCAACACUUGAACUGAAACUCUAAAAACUUGUACACUUAAUUUUCAACUGCAUUUGCUUAACAUCACUAUUCCUGUGUACUUUAUAUUACAACUUUAAUUUAUUUCAGAUUGUAACUUUGCAACUCCAUAUGACUUCUAUUGCAUGUCUGUAUGUUCUUAAAGAUGUGUUUUGUUCCACCUGUUAAGAUCUUUAUGCAGGGUUUUUCCUCACCCAAACCAAGAGCAAGAACAGGCCCUUUUAUCAUUCAAUCAGUGGGGAUGACUGCGCAACAAAAAUCUAUUUUCUCAGGUAGAAAUCACAUUUUUUCAAGUCAAGAGUGAUUCACAGACAUCUUGGUAUCAUUAAUUCUCGUGAUGCUCAUGAGCAUCACAAUUGCAUGUAUACACCAUAGUAUUUCUAUAUGUUUAAGAAAAGGACAGUGACUAGUGGAAACUUUAAGAUGACAAAUUAAAUUCCUAACUGAAUUAGUUUUAAUCAAAACUGUGUAUGCACCUCA